GACGAACGCUGGCGGCGUGCCUAAUACAUGCAAGUAGAACGCUGAAGGAGGAGCUUGCUUCUCCGGAUGAGUUGCGAACGGGUGAGUAACGCGUAGGUAACCUGCCUGGUAGCGGGGGAUAACUAUUGGAAACGAUAGCUAAUACCGCAUAAGAGUAGAUGUCGCAUGACAUUUGCUUAAAAGGUGCAACUGCACCACUACCAGAUGGACCUGCGUUGUAUUAGCUAGUUGGUGAGGUAACGGCUCACCAAGGCAACGAUACAUAGCCGACCUGAGAGGGGGAUGGGCCACCCGGGGACUGAGACACGCCCAAGACCCCUCCGGAGGGAGGCAGUAGGGACUCUUGGGAAAGGGACGGAAGUCUAACCGAGCAACGCCGGGUGGGUGAAGAGGGUUGUCGGAUCGAAAAGCUCUGUUGAAAGAGAAGAACGGGGGUGGGGGUGAAAAGUUCACCCUGGGCGGGUAGUUAACAAAAAAGGGACGGCUAACUACGUC
rnacentral:rRNA from 1 species